rnacentral:lncRNA from 1 species
AGGUCGUGGUGUCUUUCACCGCGGUGAAGCCGCAGCUACUCGUGGAGGCGCCCAAGGCUAACGACGCUGUGGAAUUCUACAAGGCUGCUUUCGGUGCUGUGGAGACUGGCCGUACGACUCAUCCUAAGCGCAAGGCUGACCAGGAGCUCCCUCAGAUCAUCUCUGCUCAGCUCCAGGUCGCCGGCACCACUAUCCUCGUCUCUGACCAUUCUGGCGAGUCUGCAACGUACGCCUCCCUCUCUCCCUCUUUUAUCCUUAACGAAUCUGUUUCGCGUUUCUUAUUGUUUCACUAUGUAAUAUAUCAUCAGAUCUGACUGGUUAUACAGUGAGAAACUCUUUUGUUGCUAUUUGUGAACUUGCUUGCUCUGUAAACGACUUGUUUGGUCUGCUCUUUAUUUCGUCCGUCUAGGCCUAGAUAUCUAUUGUGUAUAUGUUAUUAUGUAGUCAUCCUUAAGAGUAAAAACUGACUCACGUCGUUUCUCAUCCUCAUCGGUUAUCGUUACCGUCGUUGCUCUGUUCGUAUCGAUGACUGCUGAGCUUCUUAUUACCGUCUAUGUAGGCUUGUUUAGUUGUUUCGCUGUUCUCUGUUUCCGGUUUGUUCAUUGCGUUCGGUUAUAUUUUGUGUUGCCUGCUCUGUGUUUAUCUAUCCUACGGUUCCGUUUGUCCUGUUAGAUAGCGAUCUGUCUGUUCUUAAAUCGGCUGCCGAUAUCUUCUUAUAGCAGAGUUUGUGGAUGUGCCGUCGCAAUCUCCAGCUGACUGUUAACAAUUCUUAUAUUGUUUUGUUCUUGAAUAUUGUUGACUGUUUGUUCUCUGUUUAUUUACUUUCCUUGCAUCCAUUUUUUUUCUCAUUUGCACAGAGCCGGAACUGGGCUGUCACUCUGCUUGGAGACAAACGAUCUCGAUGCCGCAGUAUCCAAGGCCAUCGCCGCCGGAGCUACUUCCGAGGGGGGUGAGACCACUGAGUCUGACGGCGCGUGCUGUGGAAGUGGCGUGGGGAAGAAAGUGAAGGACCCCUAUGGAUUUGUUUGGCUCAUCUGCUCUCCUCCAGCUGCAGCCUCUGCUGCUGAGGUGGAGGCCUGAUAGCCCUCAGUUCCUCUGGCAUGGCAUAUCAACCGUAGAUUUCCUAUUUCCGCUAGCCAGUUUGUCCUGUUUAGGGUUGUUUCUGAAGAAUUGCUUUUGUGGUAGUACCAGACGUUAUCGGAAUAGGAGUACGGUUAGGCUAACUGUGCAGUGCAUCUUUCUGCUGCCUCUAUUUCUCUGAGGGGGGAAUAGUGAGAAUUAUCUUUUGCUGACCAUCGCUGUUGAUGAAUGCCUACCUGCUUCAUGAAUUAUGAAUUUCUGGUAUUUCAGUUACUGUUUUAAAAUUUAUUUUUGAAUUUUGAAAUGAAAUUUGAAUUUCCCUCAGAAACGGAGUAGUGCAUUUAAUAAAAAUGUAUUUUUUAUAAUGCAUUUAAUGAAAGGUGAGAGGCUUACUUGUGAAGUUUUAGUUUCUCACCAUUAAUUUUCUGUUUUGACACGUAGCAUGUACUUUUAAACGUAAGGUUGAAUAGUCAACCAAAUGGACGUUCCAACUUCCAAGCCUAGACCAUGGCACCGUAUUGUAAAUAACCGAUAUUCGGGAUGGCAAGGUUUUAAUAUGCCCCUGUCCUUUCGAAUUCUCGUUUCGUCUUCACAAGGAACGAAAGCGGUUGCACUUCCCUGCUAUAAAACCGAAAAACAACCUCUACCCUGAUUCCCUGACCGUUCUUUAUUUUUCCGCUUUUUGGUCUCUCUCUCUCUAUCUCUUGGGUCUCGAGCUCUCCAUCUCAAUCCUCUUUUCUCGUUCCCUCAAGCUUUUCACACCAGUCAUCCAUGGCGGAACAAGCUGAUGUCCACAAUGGAGGUGCUGAGAAGGCUGAGGUGGUGGUCUCCUUCACCGCGAUGAAGCCGCAGCUGUUUGUGGAGGCGCCCAAGGCUAACGACGCUGUGGAGUUCUAUAAGGCUGCUUUCGGUGCUGUGGAGACUGGCCGUACGACUCAACCCAAGCGCAAGGCGGACCAGGAGCUUCCUCAGAUCAUCUCCGCUCAGCUCCAGCUCGCCGGCACCACCAUUCUCGUCUCUGACCAUUCCGACGAAUCUGCUCCGUACGUCUCCGUCUCCCUCUCUCCCACGCGUACAUUUCUAGCUCACAGAGGUUCUGUUUGAAAUUUAUUGUCAGACCUGUCUGUUUUACAUUGUAAAUGACUCUUUGCCGUUCUAAUUUAUGAGCCUAGGGAUUUAAUUUUUUUUCGCGCUUGUGCUCAUACAUACACAGCUUCCGUUUCUUCUCUGCUUGUUGACGUAGUGAUUAGCUUAUGACAUUUAAAAUAGAUUUAAUCUGCUCCAUGUUUGG